CGGCGGCUACACAUGCAAGUCGAGCGGAUGAAGGGAGCUUGCUCCUGGAGUUAGCGGCGGACGGGUGAGUAAAGCCUAGGAAUCUGCCUGGUAGUGGGGGACAACGACUCGAAAGGGUCGCUAAUACCGCAUACGUCCUACGGGAGAAAGUGGGGGAUCUUCGGACCUCACGCUAUCAGAUGAGCCUAGGUCGGAUUAGCUUGUAGGUGAGGUAAUGGCUCACCUAGGCAACGAUCCGUAACUGGUCUGAGAGGAUGAUCAGUCACACUGGAACUGAGACACGGUCCAGACUCCUACGGGAGGCAGCAGUGGGGAAUAUUGGACAAUGGGCGAAAGCCUGAUCCAGCCAUGCCGCGUGUGUGAAGAAGGUCUUCGGAUUGUAAAGCACUUUAAGUUGGGAGGAAGGGUUGUAGUUUAAUACGCUGCAACUUUGACGUUACCAACAGAAUAAGCACCGGCUAACUCUGUGCCAGCAGCCGCGGUAAUACAGAGGGUGCAAGCGUUAAUCGGAAUUACUGGGCGUAAAGCGCGCGUAGGCGGCUUGAUAAGAUGGGUGUGAAAUCCCCGGGCUUAACCUGGGAACUGCAUCCAUAACUGUCUGGCUAGAGUACAGUAGAGGGUGGUGGAAUUUCCUGUGUAGCGGUGAAAUGCGUAGAUAUAGGAAGG
rnacentral:rRNA from 1 species